rnacentral:rRNA from 1 species
CCCUUAGAUGUUCUGGGCCGCACGCGCGCUACACUGACGAAUGCAACGAGCUUAUAACCUUGGCCGAAAGGUCUGGGUAAUCUCCAAAUUUCGUCGUGAUGGGGAUAGAUUAUUGCAAUUAUGGGUCUUCAACGAGGAAUUCCUAGUAAACGCAAGUCAUCAGCUUGCAUUGAUUACGUCCCUGCCCUUUGUACACACCGCCCGUCGCACCUACCGAUUGAAUGGUCCGGUGAAAUCUCGGGACGGCGGCUUGGUCGCUUGCGUCCGACUGCUGAAACUUGAUUAAACCAUAUCAUUUAGAGGAAGGUGAAGUCGUAACA